AUUGAACGCUGGCGGCAGGCCUAACACAUGCAAGUCGAGCGGAUGAAGGGAGCUCGCUCCUGGAUUCAGCGGCGGACGGGUGAGUAAUGCCUAGGAAGCUGCCUGGUAGUGGGGGAUAACGUCCGGAAACGGGCGCUAAUACCGCAUACGUCCUGAGGGAGAAAGUGGGGGAUCUUCGGACCUCACGCGAUCAGAUGAGACUAGGUCGGAUUAGCUAGUUGGUGGGGUAAAGGCCUACCAAGGCGACGAUCCGUAACUGGUCUGAGAGGAUGAUCAGUCACACUGGAACUGAGACACGGUCCAGACUCCUACGGGAGGCAGCAGUGGGGAAUAUUGGACAAUGGGCGAAAGCCUGAUCCAGCCAUGCCGCGUGUGUGAAGAAGGUCUUCGGAUUGUAAAGCACUUUAAGUUGGGAGGAAGAGAAGUAAGUUAAUACCUUGCUGUUUUGACGUUACCAACAGAAUAAGCAACGGCUAACUUCGUG
rnacentral:rRNA from 1 species